rnacentral:pre_miRNA from 1 species
GCAGGGCCUGAUCUAAUUCCUACUGAAGUCAAUGGAAGUUUUUUCCAUUGACUUCAAUGGGGGCUGGAUCAGGCCCCAUGUGC